rnacentral:rRNA from 1 species
AAUUCGAUUGAGUUUGAUCAUGGCUCAGAGCGAACGCUGGCGGCAGGCUUAACACAUGCAAGUCGAGCGGGCGUAGCAGUACGUCAGCGGCAGACGGGUGAGUAACGCGUGGGAACAUACCUUUUGGUUCGGAACAACACAGGGAAACUUGUGCUAAUACCGGAUAAGCCCUUACGGGGAAAGAUUUAUCGCCGAAAGAUUGGCCCGCGUCUGAUUAGCUAGUUGGUGAGGUAACGGCUCACCAAGGCGACGAUCAGUAGCUGGUCUGAGAGGAUGAUCAGCCACAUUGGGACUGAGACACGGCCCAAACUCCUACGGGAGGCAGCAGUGGGGAAUAUUGGACAAUGGGCGCAAGCCUGAUCCAGCCAUGCCGCGUGAGUGAUGAAGGCCCUAGGGUUGUAAAGCUCUUUUGUGCGGGAAGAUAAUGACGGUACCGCAAGAAUAAGCCCCGGCUAACUUCGUGCCAGCAGCCGCGGUAAUACGAAGGGGGCUAGCGUUGCUCGGAAUCACUGGGCGUAAAGGGUGCGUAGGCGGGUCUUUAAGUCAGGGGUGAAAUCCUGGAGCUCAACUCCAGAACUGCCUUUGAUACUGAGGAUCUUGAGUUCGGGAGAGGUGAGUGGAACUGCGAGUGUAGAGGUGAAAUUCGUAGAUAUUCGCAAGAACACCAGUGGCGAAGGCGG